CACGUAGGGAGCAAGCGUUGUCCGGAUUUAUUGGGCGUAAAGAGCUCGUAGGUGGUUCGGUAAGUCAGGUGUGAAACCUCCAGGCUCAACCUGGAGACGCCACUUGAUACUGCUGUGACUGGAGUCCGGUAGGGGAGCGUGGAAUUCCUGGUGUAGCGGUGAAAUGCGCAGAUAUCAGGAGGAACACCAGCGGCGAAGGCGGCGCUCUGGGCCGGUACUGACGCUGAGGAGCGAAAGCGUGGGGAGCAAACAGG
rnacentral:rRNA from 1 species